UGAAAGUUUCUCGUUAUAACGAGAUACUAUCACGUUAUAAUAUAAUAACGAAACGACAAGCAAGAAUAGGCUAUGGCUCAUUUGGACGAUUUAAUUAAGUUCUAUUUUUGAGUUACUUUUUGAGAAGACAUCAUGCCCAAUACUGGAUGAAUCGUUUCCAGGAGAUGAAAGACAAAGACUUAUUCUCUGGAGACUUCUUGGACAAGCAGCUGAUAUUAUUUAGUUGCCUUGCCAUCAUCCAGGAAGAACUGCAGCAAGUUGCACAUUUGUGGAAUACCCAUGUCAUCCGCAAGACAAGAAAUGCAGUAGCUCCAAAUGGACGUCUGAUUCUCAUGUACACCAUCCCUCAUCUAUUUGGAGGACAAGAUCACCUGAAAGAGGUCUCUCAGGAAGCAGUGGAGGCUUGUAAACAAGAAUGCCAAAGGAGAGGACCUUACCCUUGUGAUGAAACAGUGUUUAACAUGCGUUGCCUUAUAAUGACAGAGAACUUCUUACACUCACCCACCACAGCAGAUGAAGCAUGCAUUCAAAAAGAUUUAGAAAUUACACCAUGAUGUCUGGAGAAUUAAGGCAGGACUAUAUUGUGAACUGUUGAUCUGGUUAGUUUUGAACAUUUGAACAAAGGGGAUAGUAUGCAAGAAUAAUACUUCUUUUUUUU